rnacentral:rRNA from 1 species
GACGAACGCUGGCGGCGUGCUUAACACAUGCAAGUCGAACGGGCCUGUCUUCUUUUUUGGGGGGUGGGUUGAGUGGCGAACGGGUGAGUAUCACGUGAGUAACCUGCCCUUCGGUCCUGGAUAACCGCUUGAAAGGGCGGCUAAUACGGGGUGGUCCGGUUGGUCCGCAUGGGCUGGUCGGGAUAGAUUCACUGUUUUUGGUGUUUCGGCGGGGGAUGGGCUCGCGGCCUAUCAGCUUGUUGGUGGGGUGAUGGCCUACCAAGGCGGUGACGGGUAGCCGGCCUGAGAGGGUGGGCGGCCACACUGGGACUGAGGUACGGCCCAGACUCCUGCGGGAGGCAGCAGUGGGGGGUAUUGCACAAUGGGCGGAAGCCUGAUGCAGCGACGUCGCGUGAGGGAUGGAGGCCUUCGGGUUGUGAACCUCUGUUUCCGGUGGUGAAGGCCCUGUCCGUGUGGUGGGGUUGACGGUAGCCGGGGAUGAAGCGCCGGCUAACUACGUG